GGGGAGAGAGAGAAGCUCAUAACCUUAAACAAAAAUACCUAAACCCAAAGCAACUGAAAAAUGAUUUUCUUUCAACAACGGUGUUUCCUUUGGGGUCAAGUUCUUUGAUCUCAUCUACAAAACCUAGAAGCGGGACAAGUACUUUACUGCAAAUUAGAACAGGGCGUUACCCUCCCCCAUCACCCCAAUUCCAGAGGACGUCAAUCACAGUGGACGCAGCACUGGGAGCGGAAAUGCGGAGCAUCUGCGGGGGGCGCAGUGAAACGAGAGCAGCCCCAGCCAGAUGUCCAGUAAAGCGGGAAGACGCCCCGCUGGCACACCCUUCCGGAAAACUGAAGCGUCUCCUCUGACCCCCAAGAAACAUGAGGCCGAGUGCGGCAGCUGCACGCAGAAUCCGAGUCUGUGGCAGCUCUUGGAACCGACGCGCUGCGAAUCCCGCGUUCGCAUCCCAGCGCUUUGCGCGCAGAGAGCCACGCCCUCCGACCCGUGGGCCGCGACCCCAGCGCGUCGCGAUUGAGUAUGGAAGUGGGGCCUAUACCUUGUGACUGAGAGGGAGCCAGGGGUAAAAGCUGCUUGCAGAAAGACAGAGCAGCAGGGAUAUUGAUGACCUCAUGAAGCCACGUCAUCAGCGUGGACCACUGGUCUCCAGAAUACCUGUGAUGUGGGAACAAUAAACACCUACUUGUUUAA